rnacentral:rRNA from 1 species
AUACGGAGGGUGCAAGCGUUAUUCGGAAUCACUGGGCGUAAAGGGUGCGUAGGCGGUUUGAUAAGUCUGAUGUGAAAUCCUAUGGCUCAACCAUAGAACUGCAUUGGAAACUGUCAGACUAGAAUACUGAAGGGGCAGAUGGAAUUAGUGGUGUAGGGGUAAAAUCCGUAGAUAUCACUAGGAAUACCGAAAGCGAAAGCGAUCUGCUGGGAAGUUAUUGACGCUGAGGCACGAAAGCGUGGGGAGCAAACGGGAUUAGAAACCCCGGUAGUCC